GGGGAAUAUUGCACAAUGGGGGAAACCCUGAUGCAGCGACGCCGCGUGAGUGAAGAAGUAUUUCGGUAUGUAAAGCUCUAUCAGCAGGAAAGAAAAUGACGGUACCUGAGUAAGAAGCCCCGGCUAACUAC
rnacentral:rRNA from 1 species